rnacentral:rRNA from 1 species
UUAAGCGACUAAGCGUACACGGUGGAUGCCCUGGCAGUCAGAGGCGAUGAAGGACGUGCUAAUCUGCGAUAAGCGUCGGUAAGGUGAUAUGAACCGUUAUAACCGGCGAUUUCCGAAUGGGGAAACCCAGUGUGUUUCGACACACUAUCAUUAACUGAAUCCAUAGGUUAAUGAGGCGAACCGGGGAACUGAAACAUCUAAGUACCCCGAGGAAAAGAAAUCAACCGAGAUUCCCCCAGUAGCGGCGAGCGAACGGGGAGCAGCCCAGAGCCUGAAUCAGUGUGUGUGUUAGUGGAAGCGUCUGGAAAGGCGCGCGAUACAGGGUGACAGCCCCGUACACAAAAAUGCACAUGCUGUGAGCUCGAUGAGUAGGGCGGGACACGUGGUAUCCUGUCUGAAUAUGGGGGGACCAUCCUCCAAGGCUAAAUACUCCUGACUGACCGAUAGUGAACCAGUACCGUGAGGGAAAGGCGAAAAGAACCCCGGCGAGGGAGUGAAAAAGAACCUGAAACCGUGUACGUACAAGCAGUGGGAGCCUCUUUAUGGGGUGACUGCGUACCUUUUGUAUAAUGGGUCAGCGACUUAUAUUCUGUAGCAAGGUUAACCGAAUAGGGGAGCCGAAGGGAAACCGAGUCUUAACUGGGCGUUAAGUUGCAGGGUAUAGACCCGAAACCCGGUGAUCUAGCCAUGGGCAGGUUGAAGGUUGGGUAACACUAACUGGAGGACCGAACCGACUAAUGUUGAAAAAUUAGCGGAUGACUUGUGGCUGGGGGUGAAAGGCCAAUCAAACCGGGAGAUAGCUGGUUCUCCCCGAAAGCUAUUUAGGUAGCGCCUCGUGAAUUCAUCUCCGGGGGUAGAGCACUGUUUCGGCAAGGGGGUCAUCCCGACUUACCAACCCGAUGCAAACUGCGAAUACCGGAGAAUGUUAUCACGGGAGACACACGGCGGGUGCUAACGUCCGUCGUGAAGAGGGAAACAACCCAGACCGCCAGCUAAGGUCCCAAAGUCAUGGUUAAGUGGGAAACGAUGUGGGAAGGCCCAGACAGCCAGGAUGUUGGCUUAGAAGCAGCCAUCAUUUAAAGAAAGCGUAAUAGCUCACUGGUCGAGUCGGCCUGCGCGGAAGAUGUAACGGGGCUAAACCAUGCACCGAAGCUGCGGCAGCGACGCUUAUGCGUUGUUGGGUAGGGGAGCGUUCUGUAAGCCUGUGAAGGUGUGCUGUGAGGCAUGCUGGAGGUAUCAGAAGUGCGAAUGCUGACAUAAGUAACGAUAAAGCGGGUGAAAAGCCCGCUCGCCGGAAGACCAAGGGUUCCUGUCCAACGUUAAUCGGGGCAGGGUGAGUCGACCCCUAAGGCGAGGCCGAAAGGCGUAGUCGAUGGGAAACAGGUUAAUAUUCCUGUACUUGGUGUUACUGCGAAGGGGGGACGGAGAAGGCUAUGUUGGCCGGGCGACGGUUGUCCCGGUUUAAGCGUGUAGGCUGGUUUUCCAGGCAAAUCCGGAAAAUCAAGGCUGAGGCGUGAUGACGAGGCACUACGGUGCUGAAGCAACAAAUGCCCUGCUUCCAGGAAAAGCCUCUAAGCAUCAGGUAACAUCAAAUCGUACCCCAAACCGACACAGGUGGUCAGGUAGAGAAUACCAAGGCGCUUGAGAGAACUCGGGUGAAGGAACUAGGCAAAAUGGUGCCGUAACUUCGGGAGAAGGCACGCUGAUAUGUAGGUGAAGCGACUUGCUCGUGGAGCUGAAAUCAGUCGAAGAUACCAGCUGGCUGCAACUGUUUAUUAAAAACACAGCACUGUGCAAACACGAAAGUGGACGUAUACGGUGUGACGCCUGCCCGGUGCCGGAAGGUUAAUUGAUGGGGUCAGCGCAAGCGAAGCUCUUGAUCGAAGCCCCGGUAAACGGCGGCCGUAACUAUAACGGUCCUAAGGUAGCGAAAUUCCUUGUCGGGUAAGUUCCGACCUGCACGAAUGGCGUAAUGAUGGCCAGGCUGUCUCCACCCGAGACUCAGUGAAAUUGAACUCGCUGUGAAGAUGCAGUGUACCCGCGGCAAGACGGAAAGACCCCGUGAACCUUUACUAUAGCUUGACACUGAACAUUGAGCCUUGAUGUGUAGGAUAGGUGGGAGGCUUUGAAGUGUGGACGCCAGUCUGCAUGGAGCCGACCUUGAAAUACCACCCUUUAAUGUUUGAUGUUCUAACGUUGACCCGUAAUCCGGGUUGCGGACAGUGUCUGGUGGGUAGUUUGACUGGGGCGGUCUCCUCCUAAAGAGUAACGGAGGAGCACGAAGGUUGGCUAAUCCUGGUCGGACAUCAGGAGGUUAGUGCAAUGGCAUAAGCCAGCUUGACUGCGAGCGUGACGGCGCGAGCAGGUGCGAAAGCAGGUCAUAGUGAUCCGGUGGUUCUGAAUGGAAGGGCCAUCGCUCAACGGAUAAAAGGUACUCCGGGGAUAACAGGCUGAUACCGCCCAAGAGUUCAUAUCGACGGCGGUGUUUGGCACCUCGAUGUCGGCUCAUCACAUCCUGGGGCUGAAGUAGGUCCCAAGGGUAUGGCUGUUCGCCAUUUAAAGUGGUACGCGAGCUGGGUUUAGAACGUCGUGAGACAGUUCGGUCCCUAUCUGCCGUGGGCGCUGGAGAACUGAGGGGGGCUGCUCCUAGUACGAGAGGACCGGAGUGGACGCAUCACUGGUGUUCGGGUUGUCAUGCCAAUGGCACUGCCCGGUAGCUAAAUGCGGAAGAGAUAAGUGCUGAAAGCAUCUAAGCACGAAACUUGCCCCGAGAUGAGUUCUCCCUGACUCCUUGAGAGUCCUGAAGGAACGUUGAAGACGACGACGUUGAUAGGCCGGGUGUGUAAGCGCAGCGAUGCGUUGAGCUAACCGGUACUAAUGAACCGUGAGGCUUAACCUU